UACAGGGGAUGCAAGCGUUAUCCGGAAUGAUUGGGCGUAAAGCGUCUGUAGGUGGUUUUGAAAGUCGAUUGUCAAAAACCAAGGCUUAACCUUGGGCCGGCAAUGGAAACUUCAAGACUAGAGUAUGGUAGAGGUAGAGGGAAUUACCGGUGUAACGGUGAAAUGUGCAGAUAUCGGUAAGAACACCAAAGGCGAAAGCACUCUACUGGGCCAAAACUGACACUCAGAGACGAAAGCUAGGGGAGCGAAUAGG
rnacentral:rRNA from 1 species